AGGAGUGACCAUAUCAGCACUAAUGCAUAGGUCUCCAUCAGAACUCCGAAGUUAAGUGUGCUUGGGCAAGAAUAGUUCUAAGAUGGGCUUGUCUUAUGAUUUCAUAGAGAUAGGCUAGUGGCAUGACAC
rnacentral:rRNA from 1 species